UACACACGUGCUACAAUGGGCGGUACAAAGGGUCGCGAACCCGCGAGGGGAGCCAAUCCCAAAAAGCCGCUCUCAGUUCGGAUUGCAGGCUGCAACUCGCCUGCAUGAAGCCGGAAUCGCUAGUAAUCGCGGAUCAGCAUGCCGCGGUCGAAUACGUUCCCGGGCCUU
rnacentral:rRNA from 1 species